AACGAACGCUGGCGGCAUGCUUUAUACAUGCAAGUCGAACGGUAACAGAGGAAAGCUUGCUUUCUUGCUGACGAGUGGCGGACGGGUGAGUAACGCGUGGGAAUCUACCUGAUGGUUAGGGAUAGCCCGGAGAAAUCCGGAUUAAUACCGAAUAAUGUCUACGGACGAAAAGGUGCCUCUUCUUGAAAGCACUUGCUAACAGAUGAGCCCGCGUUAGAUUAGUUUGUUGGUGGGGUAAAGGCCUACCAAGACUACGAUCUAUAGCUGGUUUGAGAGGAUGAUCAGCCACAUUGGGACUGAGACACGGCCCAG
rnacentral:rRNA from 1 species